rnacentral:rRNA from 1 species
AUUGAACGCUGGCGGCAGGCCUAACACAUGCAAGUCGAGCGGAUGAAGGGAGCUUGCUCCUGGAUUCAGCGGCGGACGGGUGAGUAAUGCCUAGGAAUCUGUCUGGUAGUGGGGGAUAACGUCCGGAAACGGGCGCUAAUACCGCAUACGUCCUGAGGGAGAAAGUGGGGGAUCUUCGGACCUCACGCUAUCAGAUGAGCCUAGGUCGGAUUAGCUAGUUGGUGGGGUAAAGGCCUACCAAGGCGACGAUCCGUAACUGGUCUGAGAGGAUGAUCAGUCACACUGGAACUGAGACACGGUCCAGACUCCUACGGGAGGCAGCAGUGGGGAAUAUUGGACAAAGGGCGAAAGCCUGAUCCAGCCAUGCCGCGUGUGUGAAGAAGGUCUUCGGAUUGUAAAGCACUUUAAGUUGGGAGGAAGGGCAGUAAGUUAAUACCUUGCUGUUUUGACGUUACCAACAGAAUAAGCACCGGCUAACUUCGUG